AUUGAACGCUGGCGGCAGGCCUAACACAUUCAAGUCGAACGAGUGGCGGACGGGUGAGUAAUUUCUGGGAACCUGCCUGAUGGAGGGGGAUAACUAAUGGAAACGGUAGCUAAUACCGCAUAACAUCAGAUGGUACCCGCUGGUAUUAGCUUGUUGGUGGGGUAACGGCUCACCAAGGCGACGAUCCCUAGCUGGUCUGAGAGGAUGACCAGCAACAUUGGACCUGAGAAACGGUCCAGCAUCCGACGGGAGGCAGCAGUGGGGAAUAUUGCACAAUGGGCGCAAGCCGGAUGCAGCCAUGUCGCGUGUAUGAAGAAGGCCUUCGGGUGUUAAAGUACUUUCAGUGGGGAGGCGUUACCCGCAGAAGAAGCACCGGCUAACUCCGUGCCAGCAGCCGCGGUAAUAC
rnacentral:rRNA from 1 species